GGGGGCUUUUGCGACGUCCAGGUGGGAAGAAGAUACAGAUAACUCCUCUGUAUUUCUCUGAAUAAAACGCAGGGCCUUUCUUUUGUUGCUUGGGCAAAGAGCUGCCUUGUGCCAUCUGAGGAGUUUACAAUCGUAAAUGGCAAGGCUGUGCGCGGUAUGGGUAUUUGCGUGUGUGGUGUGUGGGCAGAGUGUGUGAAACAGGCUGCGCAGUCUCCCGCGACCUCACAGCCUCCCUCCUACAGCCCCGCACUCAGCCACACCUGCCCCCUCGAUGCCCUGUCUGCUAAAUCAUCAAGCCUCCAGAACGGCUGGGCCCUCACUCUGUCAGCGUCUAACGCAACACUUGAGGCCAGCCGACGAAGCCUUUCCUCCCACGCCCUUUGGAACCGUCUAGUGUGUUAGCCUCUUCGAUAACACUCUUGGUUCUCCUGGAGGAUGCCCUUCCCUGGCAUUCCGGGGCGGGGGGACGCUGCUCAUCCUUGUGCGCGUGCACACACACACCCAUCUCAAGGUACCGACGUUGGGAUACAGCCUUCCACUGAUAAGCAUCAUCUCCUCCGCCACACCACCAGCUGUAGGGCAGGGUAACCGCACCCGCUGCUCCAGAGGGUGGACCCUGAUUAGUCUAAGCCAAUCAUCGGUCUCUUGCCAGUGAUUGGUGCAGGAGUCAGCAUGUGACCCAAUUCUGGCCAACGAGAUGUGAGGAGAGGUCUGCUCAGGGACUUCUGGGAAAGGAUUCCUCGCUUCUAGGAAGGAGACUACGGAAAGAGUGCCUGUUUUCUGCCGUUGAGCACUGAUGGGCCUGAGUGUAAUUCCUGGAACUGCUCCGACCAUCUUGCAAUCGUGAGGGUCAACAGUGUUUCGAUGAAGUUGAGGCAGUGCAAUGGAAGGAACCUCGAUGAUGUUACUGUAUUAUUGAGCCCUAUUACACUGAAAAAUCUCCUUCCUCUGGACUUCCUAUCAAGUGAAAUAAUAGAGGCGUUAUUAUUUGUCAUCUAUAAUCAAGAUAUCCUAGCUGAGGCAGCCCUGCGCUUCUCCCACCCCCUGGGGACUCCUCCCCUAUCCAGAACUGAUGAUGGCCACCAGUGCCUGUCGUCCAGAACCCUUUGCAUGGUAUUAUCCAGUAUUUCUGUCCAGCCUCACAUCCAGACCUGCUUCACUGGGCUUCCUCUGCUUCAGGCUCAUCUCCCCAUCUGGAGUAGCUACCAUCCAUCUCCUCUGGACCAAUUCUGCUCCUCCUCCAAAGGGAAGCUGUCAUCAUCUACUCAGCAGCUGCUAUGUACCCAGCAUCAUUCUAAGCACUGGGGAGACUGAGAAGGUGGUUGGAAGCAACAGUAGUUUUCUUAUCUCCUUGGAGAAAGAUCAAAGCUGUUACUGAGAUUUUAUAGAUGAGAUCUCCACUGUUCUCCAUGAACUCAUGUGUCUGAGCCUCUGUCUCCCUGGUUAUGCAUUACUGGCUGGCUAACAUUAUUCCGGGCAUUUCUUCAAGUGUCACUGGUAACUUAGAACUCACCAGUGACAAGCUGGCAGAUUCACUUACAGAAUGCAGCUCCUGAAAACUACUAAUAAUGCUGUGAAGAAACAGGAGACAGAAACCAGCAGUAUUUGGUCUUCAGUUUAAGGCAUAAAUAUCUGAAAAGGAGAAAUUCCUUGGAGCCAGCCUUCCAGACAGAACCUUUAGUGCUUGGUUACAUAAAGAGCGACAGAAGCCAAGAGGUCAGGACAGAGCUGCAGCAUGCUGUGCCUAGGCCCCAGCAGGAGUGUGCAUGGGGUGUGGGGACAUCGAGAGUAGUGCUGACUUCCCUCCUUCCACUCCCAAUUCACUACACUGAGCCCAGAGCACAGUGCCGGGCGCUGCAGGGAGGGAUUGCACUGCGGCAGCGUUUCCCAGUGACGACAUUGGUUGUGCUUUAUGAUACUACAGACUCAUCCAAAGGAGAAAGUUGCAGAAAACGAAAUAAGAGGAAUCUCUCCUUUCUCCCCUCAAGACAGUCACAGGGGCUCUGCAUUCUGAGGUCUGACCCAGGGGAACAAUGAGAGGCUUUGAUUUCAUGAAGUCCAGGCUCCAGGCACAAAGAGCUGGCUUGUCCUGCAUGGGCAGGGGCUCUGGGAUGGGCAGGAAGAAGCUCAACCCACCGAGAGACCCAGGUUUCCCAGAGACAGAGAGCAAAGAUGUGAUGGGAGAUGUAGUGUGUGCUACUCAAAGCUAAUAACCUGCCUUCAGGGCAGUGGAGAUGGGUCCUGAUCUGUAGUGUUUACCAAUUUCUGUAGUGUAAAUAUUUCUACCAUGGCCAAUUUCAGGCUACCAGCUUGAUGUCACUGAAGAGGAAGUCAGGGAAAGCGGUGCAAAGAGCCGGUUCUCACAAGACAGUACAAGCCAGCUGCAGCGGACCAGUGACGCGGAAACAUGCACCCGCCUCCAGACAGCGCCUCAGGAGCGGGCAGGACCUUUUACGGGGUGAUUCCUGGGUGCCUGGGACUGAAACCCUAGUUUAAGACCUUGUGAGCUGCUGCAAAAGAUCUCGGAGCCUGGCUUGGCACGGAGGAAGUGGAGCCACCCUUCCUCAGAAUAAACUAUUUGAGCUUGAGGAAGAGGUUCCCGCAGCGGCCACGUGGGGCUGAAGAACAGGACCUUUGCUCAAGCUUCAGGACAUUGCAAACCACCCUGGCUCACCCUAAGGACGGCAUGCUCCAGACAAUGACUCCACCGUGGUGACUGGGAGCUCAGAGCCACAUUUAUGAAAAUAAAAUACUGUGAUAGUUCUUGCAUAUGAUCGUUGGGAUGCAAAUUCAUGCCUGCUACAAAGAGAUGACAGCCUUCUUCCGAGUUAUGAGGGCUUAUGCCUUCAGGUUUCUCAGUCUAGGAGGGAAAAUGAAACUAGUAUUCAAAUAUGCCCCCAAAAAUGUGCUAUGCACCACAAUAAGGAACAUCAGUAUAGUAAGAAGACUAUCACACAGUUACAUAUUAUCACAUGUGUAAAGAACUUUCACAUGUAAGAUCUCCUUUUAUCCUCCUCACGACCUUGCCAAGCUGACUAUAGUUCCAUUUCCCAGAUUUGGACGUUGACAGUCAGAGAGGCCCAAGACCAUACCGUCCAUCCGUGCAGAACCAGCACUCUCCUUACUAUCUUCUAUAUGCCAUGCUCAGUGUUCCUCCCCCUACAGAAUGACAGACUCAUCUGGGUGUGCCCAGAACCUUCCCACUUUUAGCACUGACAGUCUUGCACCUUGGGAAACACAUCAGUCCUCCCUUGCAUUAUGGCCAAUAGGAUAUAAGCGGAGGUUCCUUAGCUGUAUUUCCAGGAUCAGGUUCCUUAAAAGGAUGAGCCAGUCAGGCAAUGCCCCUUUGCUUCUUCCUGUUUUUCUUCUUGCUUGGAACUUGCAUGUGAUGACUAGAGUGCCAGCAGCCAUCCUGUGACCCUGAAGAUGAAAGCAAUAUGCUAAUGAAGUUGGAGCAGAAAGAUAGAAAGAGGCUGGGUCCCUUGUGACUAUGAGCUGCCAUAACCACCCUGGACCACCUACUUGCAGACUUCCUUUAUAUGAGAAAAUAAACCCUUAUGUAUUUAGACCACUGGAGUGAAUUCUCCAUUGCUGGCAGCCAGUCAGAGAAUAGCUCAAGCAAAGGCAUGAAGGCGAGAAUGCACACAGCUUUUGAAAUUGUGUGGUUAUUCCCCCAGGGUUUAGCUAGUUUUUUAAGAUUUUAAUCUCUUUAAGAUUUCUUCCCCUGCUCUCACUCAUGAGCCUCUCCCUGCAAUUCACGAUGGUGCAUAAUGGAGUCCUGAGACCCAGGAUCUCAUGUUUCUUUUUUCCCUUGGUACUUCUGUUGAUCUCCUAGCCUUUCAUGCAUUUAAUCAAUGGCGUUAACGACCCCUGGGAAUGAGUGUGCAGAAAAAAGCAGAAAACAAAAGUGUCAAUUCUUGGCUUUUGAGUUACAAAACAGUCUUUUGGAACUCACAGCAAAGACAUUAGUUGGAGAAAGGCUUUUUGAAUUUCAAAAGCCUGGAUACUAUACAUUAUUGUGGAAUUUCAGAGUACUGAGGACAAAAGAAGACUACAAGCUUUCCAAGAGCAAAGAACAGCUGACAAACAAAAGAAGAAGAACCAGAAUAGCUCCAGAGCUCUCAGCAGCAAAUUGCUAGAAAACAGGGGAGCAAUGCCUUCAAAAUUUGGGGAGGAAAUUUUCAACCUAAAAGUCUAUUCCCAGCCAGAUUAUCAAUCGAAGGAUAGCAGAUUAAAGAUACUUUCAGAUAUCCAAAUCCUCGAAUAUUAUAUCUCCUACAGACCCUUUCUUUAGGUAGCAAAUGUAAAACAAGAAAGAGAAAGAUACUGGAUCCAGAAAGCAGGGGAUCCAACCCAGGAGAGCAAUAAAGGGAAGCCCCAGGAAAAUGUGUUCAGUUGGCCUAACGAGCAACCAGGAGAUGGAGCUUGUGGGAAAACCUGUAGCCACAGGUAGGGAGAAAAACAGACAAAUGAAAAACGGGGCAAUUCUUAACUCCAGGACAAACAAAGAGUUAAAUACGAUAAAGGCAUGGUGAUAUUGGACUCUUUGUUCAGCUGGGAACAAUAUUUGCAUAUUUGUUAUGGUAUAUACACCAUCUAAUAAAUUGACCACAAUUGUGA
rnacentral:lncRNA from 1 species